UACGAAGGGUGCAAACGUUGCUCGGAAUUAUUGGGCGUAAAGCGCACGUAGGCGGCUUAGCAAGUCGGAUGUGAAAUCCCUCGGCUCAACCAAGGAAGUGCAUCCGAAACUGCUGAGCUUGAGUACUUAAGAGGAUCGCGGAAUUCCCGGUGUAGAGGUGAAAUGCGUAGAUAUCAAGUGGAACACCAGUGGCGAAGGCGAGUCCCUGGACAACACCUGACACUGAGGCACGAAAGCUAGGGGAGCAAACAGG
rnacentral:rRNA from 1 species